rnacentral:rRNA from 1 species
AGAGUUAAACAGUACGUGAAAUUGUUGAAAGGGAAACGAUUGAAGUCAGUCGUACCGGUGAGUAAUCAGCCAUUUGGGUGCGAUUGUGUGGGUGUUGGGGAGCCUAACGGUCCUCGCGCUUGCGUAUUUGUGCUUUGUUGGUGCACUUACUCGUAUGGUAGGUCAACGUCAAUUUUUGGUCGUCAUAAAAUGACGGGAGGAAUGUAGCUUUGAUCUCGUAUCGAAGUGUUAUAACCCCUGGUAGAUGUGAUGAUUGGGAUUGAGGAUUGCAGCGAACCCUUCGGGGUCACCCGCCUGAUCUCUGGUGGUCACUCUGGUGCCGAAAGCUUGCUUAUAACAUUCUAGUUGGCGGUCAAUAGGUUAGAACGUGAUUACAUUCGUUAAGGAUGUUGACGUAAUGGCUUUAAACGACC